AUCUGUACUCUUUGGAUACAGUUGUUCAACCAGUUACUAAUCUAACUAAUUGUAACCUGUUGAACAACUGAACCCAAAGGGUGCAAAGUUGGAAACAU
rnacentral:pre_miRNA from 14 species